rnacentral:lncRNA from 1 species
GUCUCUUCCAAACCACGUGGCAGAGCCUUGCUGAGUGCACCGCUCCUGUGGCACCGAAGACAGCCAAGACCCCAGAAAACCUGUUUACCAGUAAUGCAGUUCAUAAAAUUAUUCCUGAGCACCUCCCAUAUGUGGAGAGGGGGCUUCCCGCUGAAAACCUGCCGCCUUGUGCUCCGCCUGCUCUGGCUCGGUUGACUGCGAGGACUCUUCGCGUCUCCAUGAGGGAGUUUGGACAGGACUUGUCAUCAUGGUUGGAAGAACUUUCUCUGAAUUCUCUUCGUGAGGAAGUUGAUGUCUUGGACACAGUAUUAUUUUCCUUUGAGGGACUGUUUCCUGUUAAAAGGAAUUUAGUUUUUCAUAAAGAACCUCCAAAUUUGCUAAAAACUGGUUUAAUAAUCUGUUUUAUUUCCUGUGUCAAGUAUCAAUGCGUGAAAAAUUUUUGAAUAUCAUGGUUAAUCCGUGGACUGCUGAACACAACAGACUGAGCAUCAUGUCAGAGGUGCACCUUGUGAUUUGUGAAAAAUGUUGAACCUACAGAAAAAUUGAAAAAGUAAUAUAAUCCUGGUAAUGUUUACUAGACUCGGUGAAUGUCUUCACAUUUUGCACUUUUGUGCACGAACACAUGCAAACAUCCCUGCCCCUCCAUCAGGAGUCGUUUGAGUCUGUCGCUCACAGUAAGAUUCAGGCUAAACAUCUUUGGAAAGACUGUAAAACAGCAGAGGCCGCAGUGCUUUUGGAUGAGAUCGGGAGGUGACAGGCAUCCCCUCUGACAUAAGUGAAGAACGUGGUGGUCCUCCCUCAGCUCAGGUGACAUGGGCGACCACUGCACAUCUGGGGAGGGGCUCGAAGAGUCAGUCACUCAGGGCUUUAGUGGGUGAGAAGGAUGGCAGAACACCGGCGGCUCUGCCUAGCGGUGCAUUUAAUUAUUUCCGUUUUCUUGAGUCUAAUUCACAUACAUCGUUGGUUCGUGGAGCUGUUCCCUCCUUCUCUAUUUCCAAGGCAAAAAUCUCUGAUGUCAUCCCUGUCCUAUCCACACACAACUCCCAGGCUGACCUUCCAGAAGUUUGCUUUUUCCCUUCAAGGAUAUUUUUGAUAGUCAUUUAUAUGAAGUUUGACUUAAAUAGAAAGACCUGUGGAUGGGGUAAGGGCAGGGCAGGGAACCACAGAUCUGCCCCAGGCCCGGUGCUUCCUAGGGUCACUCAAAACUCUGUCUUAGUUUUCAUUUUAAACCCAUGUCACUCUCGGGGCAGGGGGCAGGGGGCAGAGG